GGCACUUUGGCCGAGUGGUUAAGGCGAUGCCCUGCUAAGGUCUGUCUCGACAUUGUUGAGUCAGCUACUUACGUAAAGGCAUUGGGGUUUCCCCGCGUGUGUUCGACUCACACAGGUGUCG